CUAGCAUGGGGCCAGUUUAGCAUGGGGCCAGUUUAGCAUGGGGCCGGUCUAACAUGGGGCCGGUCUAGCAUGGGGCCAGUCUAGCAUGGGGCCAGUCUAGCAUGGGGCCAUCUAGCAUAGGCCAGUCUACCCCAAGGUCAGUCUAGCAUGGGGCCAGUCUAGCUUGGGGCCAGUCCAUCAUGGGGCCAGUCUACCCCAAGGCCAGUCUAGUAUGAGACCAGUCUAGUAUGGGACCAGUCUACCCCAAGGCCAGUCUAGUAUGGGUCCAGUCUAGUAUGGGACCAGUCUACCCCAAGGCCAGUCUAGUAUGGGACCAGUCUAGUAUGGGACCAGUCUACCCCAAGGCCAGUCUAGCAUGGGGCAAGUCUAGCCCAGGGCUAGUCUAGCCCGAGGUCAGUCUAGCCCGGGGUCAGUCUAGCAUGGGGCCAUCUAGCAUUGGGCCAGUCUAGCAUGGGGCCAGUCUGUCCCGGGGCCAGUCUACCCCAAGGCCAGUCUAGCAUGGACCAGUCUAGCAUUUGGCCAGUCUAGCAUGAGGCAAGUCUAGGGUACCAGUGGGUCAUUCUAUAAACUAGGGUACCAGUGGGUCAUUCUAUAAACUAGGGUACCAGUGGGUCAUUCUAUAAACUAGGGCACCAGUGGGUCAUUCUAUAAACCAGGGUCCCAAUGGGUCUCUAUAAACUAGGGUACCAGUGGGUCUCUAUAAACUAGGAUCCCAGUGGGUCUCUAUAAACUAGGGAACCAGUGGGUCUUUCUAUAAACUGGGGUCCCAGUGGGUCUCUAUAAACUAGGGUCCCAGUGGGUCUUUCUAUAAACUAGGGUCCCAGUGGGUCUCUAUAAACUAGGGUCCCAGUGGGUCUCAAUAAACUAGGGUCCCAGUGGGUCUUUCUAUAAACUAGGGUCCCAGUGGGUCAUUCUAUAAACUAGGGUCCCAGUGGGUCUCAAUAAACUAGGGUCCCAGUGGGUCUUUCUAUAAACUAGGGUACCAGUGGGUCUUUCUAUAAACUAGGGUACCAGUGGGUCUCAAUAAACUAGGGUCCCAGUGGGUCUUUCUAUAAACUAGGGUACCAGUGGGUCAUUCUAUAAACUAGGGUACCAGUGGGUCAUUCUAUAAACUAGGGUACCAGUGGGUCUUUCUAUAAACUAGGGUACCAGUGGGUCAUUCUAUAAACUAAUGCACCAACGAGCAUUUCUUGUAGUGAACUGUUUGGAGCGGUUACUAAGUCAUUAAUAAUGAUUUGCCAUUUAAUUUCAGGUGAAUACAUUACGAAGUUAAAGGGGGAACAUAGAUACAUUCAAUAUAAUUCAUGAGUUGAAUCAAAACCUGUGUUUAACGUCUUUCAUGGAUUUGAGAAAUAUUGUGUAACACAAAACCCUAUUAUAUUGAUGAUACUGCUGUUUGUUGUUAUUUCAUAUACAAAGCAUUUUAACAAUUGAAUUACACAUUGACCUUGAUCCUGGGAAAUUAUUGGAUAUUGCUUGUCAGACUCUUUUUAGUGUGGAGAUCUGGGAAGUGGACUGUGACCUCAUAACAUUUAGUAUCUUCUAAUGUUACAGUGUGAAAACAGUUUUCAUGGGCACACAUAUCCAAAACAAUGUACUGUAUGUGAUUACAAAAUC
ensembl:lncRNA